GAUUAUGGCUCAGGAUGAACGCUGGCGGCGUGCUUAACACAUGCAAGUCGAACGGACUUAUCCGCUGUCGAAGCUUCGGCCUAGACUUGGGUAAGUUAGUGGCGGACGGGUGAGUAACGCGUGGGUAACCUGCCGUAUACAGGGGGAUAACACUUAGAAAUAGGUGCUAAUACCGCAUAAGCGCACGGUCUCGCAUGGGACAGUGUGAAAAACUCCGGUGGUAUACGAUGGACCCGCGUCUGAUUAGCUAGUUGGUGAGGUAACGGCCCACCCAAGGCGACGAUCAGUAGCCGGCCUGAGAGGGUGAACGGCCACAUUGGGACUGAGACACGGCCCAAACUCCUACGGGAGGCAGCAGUGGGGAAUAUUGCACAAUGGGGGAAACCCUGAUUGCAGCGACGCCGCGUGAGUGAAGAAGUAUUUCGGUAUGUAAAGCUCUAUCAGCAGGAAAGAAAAUGACGGUACCUGACUAAGAAGCCCCGGCUAACUACGUGCCAGCCGCGGC
rnacentral:rRNA from 1 species